rfam:Daphnia pulex DAPPTscaffold_44_Cont2470, whole genome shotgun sequence.
GAUGAGGUGACCAAGCGGUUAAGGUUAUGGACUGCUAAUCCAUUGUGCAUUGCACGUUUCAUAAUUUCUCUUAUUU